rnacentral:rRNA from 1 species
GACGAACGCUGGCGGCGUGCUUAACACAUGCAAGUCGAGCGAUGAAGCUUCUUCGGAAGUGGAUUAGCGGCAGACGGGUGAGUAACACGUGGGUAACCUGCCUCAUAGAGGGGAAUAGCCUUCCGAAAGGAAGAUUAAUACCGCAUAAGAUUGUAAUAUCGCAUGAUAUAGCAAUUAAAGGAGUAAUCCGCUAUGAGAUGGACCCGCGUCGCAUUAGCUAGUUGGUGAGGUAACGGCUCACCAAGGCGACGAUGCGUAGCCGACCUGAAAGGGUGAUCGGCCACAUUAGGACUGGGACACGGCCCAGACUCCUACGGGAGGCAGCAGUGGGGAAUAUUGCACAAUGGGGGAAACCCUGAUGCAGCAACGCCGCGUGAGUGAUGACGGUCUUCGGAUUGUAAAGCUCUGUCUUUAGGGACGAUAAUGACGGUACCUAAGGAGGAAGCCACGGCUAACUACGUGCCAGCCGCCGCGGUAACAC